rnacentral:lncRNA from 10 species
CUGGCUGCAGCACCCAGGAGAGUAAUGAUCCCUGAACUGAGGAGGCAAGAUCAGUUUGGCAGUUGAAGCAGCUGGAAUCUGCAAUUCAGAGAAUCUAAGAAAAGACAACCCUGAAGAGAGAGACCCAGAAACCUAGCAGGAGUUUCUCCAAACAUUCAAGGCUGAGGGAUAAAUGUUACAUGCACAGGGUGAGCCUCCAGAGGCUUGUCCAUUAGCAACUGCUACAGUUUCAUUAUCUCAGGGAUCACAGAUUGUGCUACCUAUUGCCUACCAUCUGAAAACAGUUGCUUCCUAUAUUUCAUCCAGUUUAAUAUUUAUUUAAACCAAGAAGGUUAAUCUGGCACCAGCUAUUCCGUUGUGAGUGGAUGUGAAAGUACCAAUUCCAUUCUGUUUUACUAUUAACUAUCCUUUGCCUUAAUAUGUAUCAGUAGGUGGCUUGUUGCUAGGAAAUAUUAAAUGAAUGGCAUGUUUCAUAGGUUGUGUUUAAAGUUGUUUUUUGAGUUAAAUCUUUCUUUAAUAAUACUUUCUGAUGUCAAAAACACUUAGAAGUCAUGGUGUUGAACAUCUAUAUAGGGUUGGAUCUA